rfam:Ornithorhynchus anatinus chromosome 12, whole genome shotgun sequence.
AGCAGUGUGGCUUAGUGGAUAAAGCAUGGGCCUGGGAGUCAGAAGGACCUGGCUUCUAAUUCCAGCUCUGCCA